rnacentral:lncRNA from 1 species
GUCUUAUUUCACAGUAGAAGUUCCUUUGCUCAAAUCCCAAACAAGGAAGAGGCUAGACUUCAAGCCAUUCUAUGGGCAGUGGAGAGUAUGGCUAGUCUCAAACUUAGCAAGGUGGUUUUUGCAGGUCAAUUUAAGGAGGAAUUUGAAGCGGUGAUGAAACCUAUGGACUGGCCCAUUGUAUGCAUUUCAGAGUGGGGAGAUCUCAAAGGCUUUACUGGCGGUGAAGGAUGCUCAACUAUUGGUAGUUUCUCGAAAUUCUAAUAGAGGUGCAUCCCUCAUUGCUACAAGUGUAACCAGAGAAAAUCGUCAUCAAUCCUAUGUGGCUUCGGGUCCUCCUUGUUGGCUUUUUGAGUUGUUCGUGAAUGAGAGCAGGUUUUUGUAAUCUUGAUUGUCUUGGGGUUGAAGUUUGGAGAGAUCAAGAUUUCUAGUUGUUUUGGGAUGGGGUUUGUUGGUGCUGUAGUUCGAUGUUGUAUCGUUCCCUCCCUUUGAAAGGGUCCAUAUCUGUGACUUUUUAUAUAUAAUCAAAACCAGUGUUAAAAAAAAAAAAAGACGAAACCCAAUUCAAUUGCUGGUAGGUAACAACAACAAACAUAUUUAUUAAAUUACU